rnacentral:rRNA from 1 species
GAUGAACGCUGGCGGCGUGCCUAAUACAUGCAAGUCGAGCGAACAGACGAGGAGUUUGCUCCUCUGUCGUUAGCGGCGGACGGGUGAGUAACACGUGUAUAACGUACUUAUAAGACUGGUAUAACUACGGGAAACCGGCGCAAAUCCCGGAUAAUCUAUUGAACCGCAGGGUUCAAUAGUGAAAGUCGGCUUUUCGGGCACUACUCGCUGCUUCUGCGCCGCAUUAGCUAGUUGGUAAGGUAACGGCUUACCAAGGCGACGAUGCGUGGCCGACUUGAGGGGGUGAUAGCCGACAUUGGAACGGGGACACGGUCCAGACUCCUGCGGGAGGCAGCAGUAGGGAAUGUUCCGCAAUGGGCGAAAGCAUGACGGAGCAACGCCGCGUGAGUGAUGAAGGUCUUGGGAUCGUAAAGCUCUGUUAUUAGGGAAGAACAGAUGUGUAAGUAACUGUGCACGUCGUGACGGUACCUAAUCAGAAAGCAACGGCUAACUACGUG